rnacentral:rRNA from 1 species
UGAGGAAUUUUGCGCAAUGGGGGAAACCCUGACGCAGCAACGCCGCGUGAGUGAUGAAGGCCUUCGGGUCGUAAAGCUCUGUCAAGUGGGAAGAAACUGAUUAAUGAUAAUACAAUUAAUUACUGACGGUACCACUGAAGGAAGCACCGGCUAACUCCGUGCCAGCAGCCGCGGUAAUACGGAGGGUGCAAGCGUUAUUCGGAAUCAUUGGGCGUAAAGGGCGCGCAGGCGGUUUUUUAAGUCAGAUGUGAAAGCCCGGGGCUUAACCCCGGAAGUGCAUUUGAAACUGAAAAACUUGAGUAUGGGAGAGGGAAGUGGAAUUCCUGGUGUAGAGGUGAAAUUCGUAGAUAUCAGGAGGAACACCGGUGGCGAAGGCGACUUCCUGGACCAAUACUGACGCUGAGGCGCGAAGGCGUGGGUAGCAAACAGG